rnacentral:rRNA from 1 species
GCGUAGGAAUCUACCUUCAGGUGGGGACAACUCGGGAAACGUCGAGCUAAUACCGCAUAAUACCUAAGGGUCAAAGUGGGGGAGUCUUCGGACCUCACGCCAGAAGAGGAGCCUGCGUUGGAUUAGUUAGUUGGUGGGGUAAUGGCCUACCAAGGCGACGAUCUAUAGCUGGUCUGAGAGGAUGAGCAGCCACACUGGGACUGAGACACGGCCCAGACUCCUACGGGAGGCAGCAGUGGGGAAUUUUCCGCAAUGGGCGAAAGCCUGACGGAGCAAUACCGCGUGAGGGAGGAAGGCUUU